GGUGUCAAUGUCGGUUGCUCGGGACCCACGCUUGCGUCAUUUAGCGCCACCACCCUCAGGGGAACUGGCUCCCAGUCUGCGCCCUCUUCUCCGCGACCGACCGCGCUGGUGACUCACAGCAGGACUGGUGUCCACGGUCAUCAACCCAACGGUGCCUGGAGGCGAUGAAGGGUGAUAACAGACUUCCUAACAAUAGGAACACACCCUCCAGUUUGUGAGGAAACCCAAGUAGCCAUGUGAGAGGCCCUUGUGGAGAAAUCCAUGUGGAGAAGAACCAAGGCUCCUGAAACAUGACCCAUUCUAAUCCAGCCCCCAGCCAGUGUCAGCUGCCAGCCAUACAGAAAAGAGCAUCAUGGACUAUGGCCUGAGGCCUUCAACAACCAGGGAAGAGAGAAGCCCAGAAAAGAGACAGAGGAGUGGCCAGUGAAAUGAGGAAGAUCAGAAAAGCCUGAUGUCCAGGAAGCCAAGUGAAGAAAGUAGAUUCUGUGUGAUCACAACCACAUGUCAACUCCUGAGCCUCAGUUUUCUCAUCCGUGAAAUGGUGAGAGUAACAACUGCCCACUUCAUGGUGUUGUUAGGAUUGAGGCAAUGUAUGUAAAGCAGUUACACUUGUGUCUGACUGGUAUAUAGGAAACUCUCAGUCUAUGGUAGCAUUGUUAUUAUUUCCUCCACUUCAGAGUAGGCUGCCACAGCCCUCAGCUUCCCCAUCCACAUAAGUGACAGCACCUCCAUGAGUCCUUCUCAGAAAUGAGGUGUCCCUGCUCACUCAGGCAACCAGGUGGGCCUGACGAGUGGCCUCUGGGUCAAAUUUGA